ACCUGGGUGGCUCAGUUGGUUGGGCGUCUGACUUCAGCUCAGGUCAUGAUCUCACAGUCUGUGGGUUCGAGCCCCGCGUCGGGCU
rnacentral:tRNA from 1 species